UACGUAGGGUGCGAGCGUUAAUCGGAAUUACUGGGCGUAAAGCGUGCGCAGGCGGUUAUGUAAGACAGGUGUGAAAUCCCAGGGCUUAACCUUGGAACUGCAUUUGUGACUGCAUAGCUAGAGUACGGUAGAGGGGGAUGGAAUUCCGCGUGUAGCAGUGAAAUGCGUAGAUAUGCGGAGGAACACCGAUGGCGAAGGCAGCCUUCUGGGCCAACACUGACGCUCAUGCACGAAAGCGUGGGGAUCAAACAGG
rnacentral:rRNA from 1 species